GGCAGCAGUAGGGAAUCUUCGGCAAUGGGCGAAAGCCUGACCGAGCAACGCCGCGUGAAUGAUGAAGGCCUUCGGGUUGUAAAAUUCUGUUAUAAGGGAAGAACGACUUUAGUAGGAAAUGGCUAGAGUGUGACGGUACCUUAUGAGAAAGCCACGGCUAACUACGUGCCAGCAGCCGCGGUAAUACGUAGGUGGCGAGCGUUAUCCGGAAUUAUUGGGCGUAAAGAGCGCGCAGGUGGUUGAUUAAGUCUGAUGUGAAAGCCCACGGCUUAACCGUGGAGGGUCAUUGGAAACUGGUCGACUUGAGUGCAGAAGAGGGAAGUGGAAUUCCAUGUGUAGCGGUGAAAUGCGUAGAGAUAUGGAGGAACACCAGUGGCGAAGGCGGCUUCCUGGUCUGUAACUGACACUGAGGCGCGAAAGCGUGGGGAGCAAACAGGAUUAGAUACCCUGGUAGUCCACGCCGUAAACGAUGAGUGCUAAGUGU
rnacentral:rRNA from 1 species